rnacentral:rRNA from 1 species
UUGAACGCUGGCGGCAUGUUUUACACAUGCAAGUCGAACGGUAACAGGCCGCAAGGUGCUGACGAGUGGCGAACGGGUGAGUAAUAUAUCGGAACGUGCCCAGUCGUGGGGGAUAACGCAGCGAAAGCUGUGCUAAUACCGCAUACGAUCUCUGGAUGAAAGCGGGGGACUCGCAAGGGCCUCGCGCGAUUGGAGCGGCCGAUAUCAGAUUAGCUAGUUGGUGGGGUAAAAGCCCACCAAGGCGACGAUCUGUAGCUGGUCUGAGAGGACGACCAGCCACACUGGAACUGAGACACGGUCCAGACUCCUACGGGAGGCAGCAGUGGGGAAUUUUGGACAAUGGGCGCAAGCCUGAUCCAGCAAUGCCGCGUGCAGGAUGAAGGCCUUCGGGUUGUAAACUGCUUUUGUACGGAGCGAAAAGGCUCUCUCUAAUAAAGGGGGCUCAUGACGGUACCGUAAGAAUAAGCACCGGCUAACUACGU